ACUAGAUAUGGUGGUCACGGUUCUCCCGAGUCGCAAUAUCGGGAGCUAAGAGGGAAGCCGGUGCGCCUAUGUUUUGGGCAAAGCCGGUGCUGCCCCCGCAACUGUAAGCGGAGAGCUGAAGUCCACGUUUUACGUCACUGGAAUCGCACGAUUUCGGGAAGACCGGACGGAUGCUAAGACCCGCGAGCCAGGAGACCUGCCGCGACACCAGAAACGUCC
rnacentral:ncRNA from 22 species